UACGUAGGGUGCAAGCGUUGUCCGGAAUUAUUGGGCGUAAAGAGCUCGUAGGCGGCCUGUCGCGUCUGCUGUGAAAACUCAGGGCUUAACCCUGAGCUUGCAGUGGGUACGGGCAGACUAGAGUGCGGUAGGGGAGACUGGAAUUCCUGGUGUAGCGGUGAAAUGCGCAGAUAUCAGGAGGAACACCGGUGGCGAAGGCGGGGUCUCUGGGCCGUAACUGACGCUGGAGGAGCGAAAAGCAUGGGGAGCGAACAGG
rnacentral:rRNA from 1 species